rnacentral:rRNA from 1 species
AGGCUAAUCCCCCCAGGGUCAGUCGGGAGCUAAGGCGAGGCCGACAGGCGUAGCCGAUGCACAACAGGCGGACAUUCCUGUACCACCGCGGAGCGUUACUACGACGGGGUGACGGAGAAGGGUAGCCGGGCGGGGUUCUGGACGUCCCCGUGAAAGCGCGUAGGCCGCAGGGCAGGCAAAUCCGCCCUGCAGCGAGGCCGAGACGUUAGACGAAGCUUCAUGUGAAGCCGGCGAGCCCAUGCUUCCGAGAAAAACCUCUAAGGAGCGAGGCGGUGCCCGUACCAAAACCGACACAGGUAGGCGGGUAGAGCAUACCAAGGCGAUCGGGAGAACCAUGGUUAAGGAACUCGGCAUACUGACUCCGUAACUUCGGGAGAAGGAGUGCCCCCGCCUGUGAGGUCCCACGCGGACGGAGCGGGAGGGGGUCGCAGCGAAACGGCCCAAGCGACUGUUUACCAAAAACACAGGACUCUGCAAAGCCGCAAGGCGACGUAUAGGGUCUGACGCCUGCCCGGUGCUGGAAGGUUACGCGGAUGAGUUAGCGCAAGCGAAGCCCUGAAGCCAAGCCCCAGUAAACGGCGGCCGUAACUAUAACGGUCCUAAGGUAGCGAAAUUCCUUGUCGGGUAAGUUCCGACCUGCACGAAUGGCGUAACGACUUGGGCGCUGUCUCAACCAUGGACCCGGUGAAAUUGUAUUAUUCGUGAAGAUGCGAAUUACCUGCGGAAGGACGGAAAGACCCCGUGAACCUUUACUGCAGCUUGGCAUUGGCUGUUGGUGCGGUGCGUAGAGGAUAGGCAGGAGCCUGCGAACCGGGAACGCCAGUUCCCGGGGAGGCGCCCUUGGAAUACUGCCCUCACCGCAUCGGCAGCCUAACGCGCCGCCCUCAUCGGGGGCGCGGACCGUGCCAGGUGGGUAGUUUGACUGGGGCGGUCGCCUCCUAAACUGUAACGGAGGCGUGCGAAGGUUCGCUCAGGGCGGUUGGCAAUCGCCCGCAGAGCACAAGAGUACAAGCGAGCCUGACUGCGAGACCAACAAGUCGAGCAGAGACGAAAGUCGGUUCUAGUGAUCCGGCGGCCCAGCGUGGAAUGGCCGUCGCUCAACGGAUAAAAGGUACUCCGGGGAUAACAGGCUGAUCUUGCCCAAGAGUCCACAUCGACGGCAAGGUUUGGCACCUCGAUGUCGGCUCAUCGCAUCCUGGGGCUGUAGCAGGUCCCAAGGGUACGGCUGUUCGCCGUUUAAAGCGGUACGCGAGCUGGGUUCAGAACGUCGUGAGACAGUUCGGUCCCUAUCCUCCGUGGGCGCAAGAGAAUUGAGAGGAUCUGUCCCUAGUACGAGAGGACCGGGAUGGACGCACCUCUGGUGCCGCAGUUGUCGACCAACGGCACAGCUGCCUAGCUACGUGCGGAACGGAUAACCGCUGAAAGCAUCUAAGCGGGAAGCCGGCCUCGAGAUGAGUUCUCUCUUCGGUAAGGCCACUUGUAGACCACAAGUUCGAUAGGCCGCAGCUGCAAGCCCCGCGAGGGGCUCAGGCGAGCGGUACUAAUCGGCCGAGCUCUUCAUCUC